UACGUAGGGUGCGAGCGUUAAUCGGAAUUACUGGGCGUAAAGUGUGCGCAGGCGGCAAAGCAAGUCGAGUGUGAAAGCCCCGGGCUUAGCUUGGGAAUUGCGCUCGAAACUACUUUGCUGGAGUGUGGCAGAGGAAGGUGGAAUUCCACGUGUAGCGGUGAAAUGCGUAGAGAUGUGGAGGAACACCAAUGGCGAAGGCAGCCCCCUGGGAUCAACACUAGCGUCU
rnacentral:rRNA from 1 species